rnacentral:rRNA from 1 species
AUGAGUUAAGUAUAAACCCCUUUACAAGUAUCAAUUGGAGGGCAAGUCUGGUGCCAGCAGCCGCGGUAAUUCCAGCUCCAAUAGCGUAUAUUAAAGUUGUUGCAGUUAAAAAGCUCGUAGUUGGAUUUCUGUUAAUAAUUUAUAUAUAAUAUUUUAACAUAUUUAUAUAAUAUUAACAUAAUUCAUAUUACUAUAUUUAUGUGUAGUAUAUGAAAUUUUACUUUGAGAAAAUUAGAGUGCUUAAAGCAGGCUUUUAUGCCUUGAAUACUAGAGCAUGGAAUAAUAUUAAAGAUUUUUAUCUUUCUUUAUUGGUUCUAAGAUAGAAAUAAUGAUUAAUAGGGACAGUUGGGGGCAUUUGUAUUUAACAGUUAGAGGUGAAAUUCUUAGAUUUGUUAAAGACAAACUAAUGCGAAAGCAUUUGCCAAGGAUGUUUUCAUUAAUCAAGAACGAGAGUUAGGGGAUCGAAGACGAUCAGAUACCGUCGUAGU